AAUAAGUGUAGUUUUACACUGUUUAUUUCUAACGUUUGAUCGUUCGUCUUAUUUAAAAUUAUUUUAUGAUUAGUAUUUUUUUUAUUAGAUGAUAAAACAUGAAUAGUACUUUAUGUGUGACUAUUUUGUUUUAAUUUUUUCAUAAUGUUUUCAAAUAAGACACAGAUAGCCAUGGCUGCACUAACU
rnacentral:pre_miRNA from 1 species